CCUACGGGCUGCACCAGCGGGGAAUAUUGCACAAUGGGCGCAAGCCUGAUGCAGCCAUGCCGCGUGUAUGAAGAAGGCCUUUGGGUUGCAAAGUACUUUCAGCGGGGAGGAAGGCGAUAAGGUUAAUAACCUUGUCGAUUGACGUUACCCGCAGAAGAAGCACCGGCUAACUCCGUGCCAGCAGCCGCGGUAUACGGAGGGUGCAAGCGUUAAUCGGAAUUACUGGGCGUAAAGCGCACGCAGGCGGUCUGUCAAGUCGGAUGUGAAAUCCCCGGGCUCAACCUGGGAACUGCAUUCGAAACUGGCAGGCCAGAGUCUUGUAGAGGGGGGUAGAAUUCCAGGUGUAGCGGUGAAAUGCGUCGAGAUCUGGAGGAAUACCGGUGGCGAAGGCGGCCCCCUGGACAAAGACUGACGCUCAGGUGCGAAAGCGUGGGGAGCAAACAGGAUUAGAUACCCCUGUAGUC
rnacentral:rRNA from 1 species